rnacentral:misc_RNA from 1 species
GAUGAAGAACGCAGCGAAAUGCGAUAAGUAAUGUGAAUUGCAGAAUUCAGUGAAUCAUCGAAUCUUUGAACGCACAUUGCGCCCCCUGGUAUUCCGGGGGGCAUGCCUGUUCGAGCGUCAUUUCACCACUCAAGCCUCGCUUGGUAUUGGGCAUCGCGGUCCGCCGCGUGCCUCAAAUCGACCGGCUGGGUCUUCUGUCCCCUAAGCGUUGUGGAAACUAUUCGCUAAAGGGUGUUCGGGAGGCUACGCCGUAAAACAACCCCAUUUCUAAGGUUGACCUCGGAUCAGGUAGGGAUACCCGCUGAACUUAAGCAUAUCAAUAGCGGAGGA